rnacentral:rRNA from 1 species
GACGAACGCUGGCGGCGUGCUUAACACAUGCAAGUCGAGCGGUAAGGCCCUUUCGGGGGUACACGAGCGGCGAACGGGUGAGUAACACGUGGGUGACCUGCCUCUAGCUCUGGGAUAAGCCCGGGAAACUGGGUCUAAUACUGGAUAUGACUCCAUGACGCAUGUUGUGGGGUGGAAAGCCUUGUGCGGCUAGAGAUGGGCCCGCGGCCUAUCAGCUUGUUGGUGGGGGAUGGCCUACCAAGGCGACGACGGGUAGCCGGCCUGAGAGGGCGACCGGCCACACUGGGACUGAGACACGGCCCAGACUCCUACGGGAGGCAGCAGUGGGGAAUCUUGCGCAAUGGGCGAAAGCCUGACGCAGCGACGCCGCGUGAGGGAUGACGGCCUGG